rnacentral:rRNA from 1 species
CCGGCACGGGUGAGUAACACGUAUCCAACCUGCCGUCUACUCUUGGACAGCCUUCUGAAAGGAAGAUUAAUACAAGAUGGCAUCAUGAGUCCGCAUGUUCACAUGAUUAAAGGUAUUCCGGUAGACGAUGGGGAUGCGUUCCAUUAGAUAGUAGGCGGGGUAACGGCCCACCUAGUCUUCGAUGGAUAGGGGUUCUGAGAGGAAGGUCCCCCACAUUGGAACUGAGCACGGUCCAA